rnacentral:rRNA from 1 species
GACGAACGCUGGCGGCGUGCUUAACACAUGCAAGUCGAACGGAAAGGCCCUGCUUUUGUGGGGUGCUCGAGUGGCGAACGGGUGAGUAACACGUGAGUAACCUGCCCUUGACUUUGGGAUAACUUCAGGAAACUGGGGCUAUUACCGGAUAGGAGCUCCUGCUGCAUGGUGGGGGUUGGAAAGUUUCGGCGGUUGGGGAUGGACUCGCGGCUUCUCAGCUGGUUGGUGGGGUAGUGGCUUACCAAGGCUUUGACGGGUAGCCGGCCUGAGAGGGUGACCGGCGACAAUGGGACUGAGAGACGGCCCAGACGCCUACGGGAGGCAGCAGUGGGGAAUAUGGCACAGUGGGCGGAAGCCUGAUGUAGCAACGCCGGGUGCGGGAUGACGGCCUUCGGGGUGUAAACCGCUUUGGCCUGUAACGAAGCGUGAGUGACGGUAAUGGGUAAAGAAGCACCGGCUAACUACGUG